AGGAAAACGUAUCGGAUUACUGGGCGUAAGCGUGCGCAGGCGGUUUUGUAAGUCUGUCGUGAAAGCCCCGGGCUCAACCUGGGAAUUGCGAUGGAGACUGCAAGGCUUGAAUCUGGCAGAGGGGGGUAGAAUUCCACGUGUAGCAGUGAAAUGCGUAGAGAUGUGGAGGAACACCGAUGGCGAAGGCAGCCCCCUGGGUCAAGAUUGACGCUCAUGCACGAAAGCGUGGGGAGCAAACAGGAUUAGAUACCCUGGUAGUCCACGCCCUAAACGAUGUCUACUAGUUGUCGGGUUUUAAUUAACUUGGUAACGCAGCUAACGCGUGAAGUAGACCGCCUGGGGAGUACGGUCGCAAGAUUAAAACUCAAAGGAAUUGACGGGGACCCGCACAAGCGGUGGAUGAUGUGGAUUAAUUCGAUGCAACGCGAAAAACCUUACCUACCCUUGACAUGUCAGGAACCUCCGAGAGAUCGGGGGGUACCCGAAAGGGAACCUGAACACAGGUGCUGCAUGGCUGUCGUCAGCUCGUGUCGUGAGAUGUUGGGUUAAGUCCCGCAACGAGCGCAACCCUUGUCAUUAGUUGCUACAUUCAGUUGAGCACUCUAAUGAGACUGCCGGUGACAAACCGGAGGAAGGUGGGGAUGACGUCAAGUCCUCAUGGCCCUUAUGGGUAGGGCUUCACACGUCAUACAAUGGUACAUACAGAGGGCCGCCAACCCGCGAGGGGGAGCUAAUCCCAGAAAGUGUAUCGUAGUCCGGAUCGUAGUCUGCAACUCGACUACGUGAAGUUGGAAUCGCUAGUAAUCGCGGAUCAGCAUGUCGCGGUGAAUACGUUCCCGGGUCUUGUACACACCGCCCGUCACACCAUGGGAGCGGGUUUUACCAGAAGUAGGUAGCUUAACCGUAAAGGAGGGCGCUUACCACGGUAGGAUUCGUGACUGGGGUG
rnacentral:rRNA from 1 species